rnacentral:lncRNA from 1 species
CAUCCUUGUGGUUGCAAUAAAUACACUUCCACGCCCAACUCUGUUGGACUAGAUGCAGACGCCAUUUAAGGGGAUGUCAAAGUCCUUCCCCAGCAAAAGGCUCUUGUCUUCCUUAGGAUGUCAGAACGGGUGCUGCUGAGGAAUGAAUGAAUGCCUCCCCUUGGGACACAGAAAUUUGGAUUUUUUUUUUUUUUUUUUCCCUGCAGCAAGCUCUGUUGUUGACGCUGUGGACGCAGGGCGGGAAGGGACUGUGGAGACAUGUGUGCACUCGGCCUGAGCUCCUCGCUGCUUGGUGAUCACUUAAAAAAUGACGACCGGAUUCUUUCCCAAUUGCCAAGUACCGUGGCAUCCAGCAUCUACUUCCUGCCUCUGAAGUUGACUGCUCUGGCUACCUCCCGUGACUGGAC